UACAGAGGGGACAAGCGUUGUUCGGAAUUACUGGGCGUAAAGGGCGCGUAGGCGGCCGCCUAAGUCAGACGUGAAAUCCCUCGGCUCAACCGGGGAACUGCGUCUGAUACUGGGUGGCUUGAAUUCGGGAGAGGGAUGCGGAAUUCCAGGUGUAGCGGUGAAAUGCGCAGAUAUCAGGAGGAACACCAAUUGCGAAGGCAGCUCGCUGGGACGUUACUGACGCUGAGACGCGAAAGCGUGGGGAGCAAACAGG
rnacentral:rRNA from 1 species